rnacentral:tRNA from 1 species
GGGGAUAUAGCUCAGUGGUAGAGCAUGCUGUGCAUGUUUGAGGUCCUGGGUUUGAUCCCCAGCAUCUCCA